rnacentral:rRNA from 1 species
CAGCCGCCGCGGAAAUACAGAGGGUGCGAGCGUUAAUCGGAUUUACUGGGCGUAAAGCGUGCGUAGGCGGCUUCUUAAGUCGGAUGUGAAAUCCCUGAGCUUAACUUAGGAAUUGCAUUCGAUACUGGGAAGCUAGAGUAUGGGAGAGGAUGGUAGAAUUCCAGGUGUAGCGGUGAAAUGCGUAGAGAUCUGGAGGAAUACCGAUGGCGAAGGCAGCCAUCUGGCCUAAUACUGACGCUGAGGUACGAAAGCAUGGGGAGCAAACAGGAUUAGAUACCCCAGUAGUCCCUGUCUCUUUAUA